rnacentral:tRNA from 1 species
GCUCCAAUGGCGCAAUGGUAGCGCGCAAGACUUCUACUACACAUUUGAAUGAAAUAGUUCACGUGAUAUCUUGAGGUUGAGGGUUCGAGCCCCUCUUGGAGUGC